rfam:Salmo salar isolate Sally breed double haploid chromosome ssa10, whole genome shotgun sequence.
UCUGAAAUCAGGUUAGCCACUGACUAACGUACAUUGCGCCUAUCCCAAUUCCACUGUGCGUGUGACAGCGGCUAACCUGGUUUUGGGGAGACUUCUC